rnacentral:rRNA from 1 species
GGACUACUAGGGUUUCUAAUCCUGUUUGAUCCCCACGCUGUCGCGCCUGAGCGUCAGAAACGGUCCAGUGAGCCGCCUUCGCCACCGGUGUUCUUCCCAAUAUCUACGAAUUUCACCUCUACACUGGGAAUUCCACUCACCUCUACCGUACUCAAGCUCUGCAGUUUCAGAGGCAUUUCCAAGGUUGAGCCUUGGGCUUUCACCCCUGACUUGAAGAGCCGCCUGCGCGCGCUUUACGCCCAGUAAUUCCGAACAACGCUAGCCCCCUUCGUAUUACCGCGGCUGCUGGCAC